GAUUAUCUAAUUCAAGAUCCUCACUUUACAGACAAGGAAACUAAUGAAUAGAGAAGAAGAUGACUUCAUGAAAUCCCCAGACUUAGAAGCCUCUCUUUCUCUUCCUUCUCCUUCUAGCUGUAAGGAUACUAUGCCCAUAGCUGAAUGUGGGGAAACUAUGCAUACCUUGCAGGAAUGGGAACGUCAUUCUGAGGGUAGUCCACAUGCAAGUGUUCUAAGGUUGACAUCACUACUUCAUCAUUCACCUCAUUUUCCCAGAACAGAAGCACCAAGAAAAUUAUCACCAUUAUUAUCAUCAGAGAAAUAAAGAAAAAAGAAAGGAAGAAAGAAAAAGGAAGGAGGAAAACGGGAAGAGAGAGAAAAAAUCAAUGUGGUGAAUUUUUUUAUAAUUGUUGCUUUUAGGAGG